UACGAAGGGGGCUAGCGUUGCUCGGAAUCACUGGGCGUAAAGGGCGCGUAGGCGGGCUGCCAAGUCUGGGGUGAAAUCCCACGGCUCAACCGUGGAACUGCCUCGGAUACUGGUGGCCUCGAGGGGGGUAGGGGCGUGCGGAACUGUGGGUGGAGCGGUGAAAUGCGUUGAUAUCCACAGGAACUCCGGUGGCGAAGGCGGCACGCUGGACCUUUCUGACGCUGAGGCGCGAAAGCCAGGGGAGCAAGCGGGGAUUAAGAAACCCCGUGUAACGUCC
rnacentral:rRNA from 1 species